rnacentral:rRNA from 1 species
UACGGGGGGGGCAAGCGUUGCUCGGAAUCACUGGGCGUAAAGCGCACGUAGGCGGAUUGUUAAGUCAGGGGUGAAAUCCUGGAGCUCAACUCCAGAACUGCCUUUGAUACUGGCGAUCUCGAGUCCGGGAGAGGUGAGUGGAACUGCGAGUGUAGAGGUGAAAUUCGUAGAUAUUCGCAAGAACACCAGUGGCGAAGGCGGCUCACUGGCCCGGUACUGACGCUGAGGUGCGAAAGCGUGGGGAGCAAACAGG